UACGGAAGGCAGCAGUAGGGAAUCUUCCGCAAUGGACGAAAGUCUGACGGAGCAACGCCGCGUGAACGAUGAAGGCUUUCGGGUCGUAAAGUUCUGUUGUUAGGGAGAACAAGUACCGGAGUAACUGCCGGUACCUUGACGGUACCUAACCAGAAAGCCACGGCUAACUACGUGCCAGCAGCCGCGGUAAUACGUAGGUGGCAAGCGUUGUCCGGAAUUAUUGGGCGUAAAGCGCGCGCAGGUGGUUCUUUAAGUCUGAUGUGAAAGCCCACGGCUCAACCGUGGAGGGUCAUUGGAAACUGGGGAACUUGAGUGCAGAAGAGGAAAGUGGAAUUCCACGUGUAGCGGUGAAAUGCGUAGAGAUGUGGAGGAACACCAGUGGCGAAGGCGACUUUUCUGGUCUGUAACUGACACUGAGGCGCGAAAGCGUGGGGAGCGACAGGGAUUAGAUACC
rnacentral:rRNA from 1 species